rnacentral:rRNA from 1 species
GUUGUAUAGUCAAGUAAUUAAGUGCAUGUGGUGGAUGCCUUGGCAGUCAGAGGCGAUGAAAGACGUAAUAGCCUGCGAUAAGCUCCGGGGAGGCGGCAAAUAUCCUGUGAUCCGGAGAUUUCUGAAUGGGGAAACCCACUUACCAUAAGGUAGGUAUCGCAA